UUCUAUAGCAUGCAAAACGUGAUUUGCGCUGAGAUGAACAUAUAUGUUCAUGACGCGAGUAAUUUUCACUUUUCACUGAUCCAAAGGAGGUCACGUGGGAUUGCUUGACGGUUGCGAAAUUAACAGCAAUGAAAAUGGCGAAACGAAACUUGUGAAUCGUGCAUUUGCUCUUCAUGGUAGCUGCCAGAAAAUCGAAUCAAACUUAUGGGACACUGGAUUACAGGUUGCUGCCACUACUCCAUGUGCCCGCAAUUGUCUUGCGUGUAUGAUUACACUAACGACGUCGCCCACCACGGCGGAAGUGUUUUGCGUACACGCGUUUCAGCAUGAAGCCUGCAGGUGGACGUAAAUUGUAGAAGGCAGCUAGUGGGGGAGAAGAUCAUGGUCAUAGGUCAUGUGGCUCCUGGAGCUCCCAGUGGGCUCCCUUGUGGAGUACUUUUCAGAACACGCACACAGUUCGCUCACAGAACCAACGAGUAGGAUGUUGCUUGAAUACUGAGAGAAAAUGGCGUAACACAUACAAAUAUCGUGUGACACAUAUGACA